UACAACAUGAUUCAAAAACGAUGCAUUGCUUUGGUGUGGGGGGCACCUUUAAUGAUCCGGCCAGCCUGUGUCAUUGCAGUGGAUUCGGACCUCACAUGAGCUGCUUCAUAGAACUUGCUUGCUAUGUCACCUCCAGACUCCAGGCAUAUGCAGGAGUUCAGCGCAGCUGUCAUCGACGAAAUUAUAUGGUGGAAGCUUGUAUUGUGGGACAGCAGUGAUCCUUUUGGGACCUCUCCAAAUUUAGAAGACACCAUGGUUAGAGCAGACAUUCCAUCAACUAGCUUCGCUAUCAGUGGUUGUGGACAACGGGAAAUGAGGGAUGCUGCUCCAGCAAUGACAUCAUUGUCAGGUAAAGGUUCUAAAAAAAGUUCAUGCCUCAGUGUUUUAAUUGUUACCUAAUGUGAAGAUGUGUUUUAUUAGUAUUUGGCAGUGGUGGGCCGUCAGGGCCAGCAAAGCCUUCUCUGUCUCUGUCUAAGUCAGAAUCACUGAUUUAGUUUAAUAUAUUUUUCCAUGAAUGUGUAUCUUUAUUUGUUAAUGGUUGGCAAAUUAAAGUUGUUAAAAACUGACGAAUGAGGUUUCUGUCUUUAUAUUUACCUGGGUUCGGAGCCUAUGCCAGGCCUGCUGUUUGCUUGUGCAUGCAAGGGCAGCUGGAACAUUUUUGGUUCCAAUUGUACUAAAAUGUGCUGUCUGGUAAAGUAACCAGAUGGUUGC
rnacentral:lncRNA from 1 species